ACAAAAAUAAUAUUCUUAUCAUAUUUUUCAUACUAUAAUUAUAUCAUUUUUCUAAUAUAGAUGAGAUUCACAUAUGUUGUGGACUCUAUCCUUAUUCAAAAAAUGAUAAAAAAGUGAUAAGUAUAGUCAUACUCGUUUCACUAUUUGAUAUCUUUUUAAUAAAGACGAUACUCAUUUCAUUAUUUUUAGAAGUUUUUUUGCUUACCACCGCUAUCUUUUAUGAUGCUCCCCUCUCUCUUUUAACUUACCAUGUGUCCCACCAACUAAGGGUUAAAUUUAAGGAUAAAGGUUGUCUGCCCUUCUAUUUCCGAUGUCCUUUCGUGCUCUUCUAUUUGUGUGAUCACGGUUAAACCACGUUAAUAUUUUAUAUUACUAUUUAUUUUUGUCUUAUUAUCUCUAUAAAAAAAAAUAAUAUAAAAUAUUAAAGUGGUUUAACCGUGACCACACAAAACAGAAGAACACGAGAGGGCACCGAAAGUGGGAGGACAGACAAUCCUUGUUCUAAAUUUAAUAUUAAAAUACUUUUGAAAAGAGUUAAAAUUAAAUAAAUUACGCAUAAUAAAAAUUUCCAACAGAACCAACCCAGAAACACCCCGUCCUCCUCUUCCUCUCUUUUCGACCCAACAGCCACCACCACCACCAACCCGACAACGGCAACAAACACCCAAGCCCCGAGGCCACCACCCUCCGUUCCUCCAUCUUUUACUUCAAAUCGUCCGGGCCAUGGACGCCGAGUCCACCUCCGAACCCUCCAUUCCUUAAUUACGGUGAUACUGAUGUCAUUUUUGUGGUGUUCCCAAUUGGGUUUCUCGAAUAUUUCUUUUCUUUUGAUGAUAUUAAGCAUUUGAAGAAAUGGGUUUAUUUGUGAUGAUUUUAUUCAUGUUUUCGGUACUUGACUUAUUUACUUAUAAUUUAUAAAUUACAGGGCUGGGUUUGUGAUUGUCUGUGUUAUAUAAUUUGUAUUUGGUCUGUUGGCUAAUUAGUUAUGUAUGGAACGCGGUAAUCGCACAAUUUUUGGCACGGCAUCGUUUCGUCUUCCCGGAGUCGCUCCGUACGGUCCACCCAAUGUCUACUGUAGACGCGCUCCAAUACCUCGAAUCUGCUCUCCAAUUCCUCAUACUCGCCAUUGCCUUCCACUCCAGCUUUGGGGGUUUUCAUCUCAUCUCGUAUAUGCUGCUUCCGGUCAGAGACAACUAUAUGUUGUCACCCCUACAAAGGCCUGUUAUCACUUUAGAAUGGUGUUUACACCACCUGACCUUUUUGGUUACAGCUUGGUUCUGGGCAUUCGCUUGCGUUUGUUUUCGUCUGAGGAUCGGAUUUGUGGCGUUCAGGAUGGGUUUGGUUCUUCUUGAUCUGCAGGUGGGUAAGUGAGACAAUAUUAAUGGCAUUGGUAGCGGACUAUACUGGCCUGAAAGUUUAUCACAGCUGUCAAUUAUGGAUUAGUUAAGAAUAGAGGAGACCCUAAACGAAGAAGUGAAGCAUUACAUUUAUGUAACCAACAACAUCUUAAUCAUUUUUAAACAUUUUGCCCUUAUCCCUCUUGGACCAACUAAACAUUUAUUCCUCUCAUCAUCAUCAUCAAUUAUUUAUAAA